rnacentral:rRNA from 1 species
GACGAACGCUGGCGGCGUGCUUAACACAUGCAAGUCGAGCGGUAAGGCCCUUUCGGGGGUACACGAGCGGCGAACGGGUGAGUAACACGUGGGUGACCUGCCCUCAGCUCUGGGAUAAGCCUGGGAAACCGGGUCUAAUGCUGGAUAUGACUCCAUGACGCAUGUUGUGGGGUGGAAAGCCUUGUGCGGCUGAGGAUGGGCCCGCGGCCUAUCAGCUUGUUGGUGGGGUGAUGGCCUACCAAGGCGACGACGGGUAGCCGGCCUGAGAGGGCGACCGGCCACACUGGGACUGAGACACGGCCCAGACUCCUACGGGAGGCAGCAGUGGGGAAUCUUGCGCAAUGGGCGAAAGCCUGACGCAGCGACGCCGCGUGAGGGAUGACGGCCU